CUCUUGGAGCAACUAGGAAUCACCAACAGAAAGACAGACAUAUGGGUACAGACACAAGUCGGCAACCUCACCUGUAAUUCUAGCAAAAUCUCAGUCAUCCUUGAAUGCAUGGUCAAAUACAGUAAACCUCAGAUUCUCAGAAUGAAAAGGUUAGCUGGAAUCCUGAAUCUCACACUGGACAAACCCAAGGAUAACAAAGGUGCUAAAUAUGAGAUCAGAUGGAGGGAGAGAGGCUCUGAAUGGCAGAAAGCAACAUUUGAAACUAAGGACAGCACCAAAGGUUAGAUUUAAUACAAAUGAUAUAUGUGCACAAAUAAGAUUGUCUGAAUGUUGCACAGUC
rnacentral:lncRNA from 1 species